UGGGAGAUGGUGUAAUUGGCAACACAUUUGGUUUUGGUCCAAACGUUGAGGGUUCGAGUCCUUCUCUCCCAG
rnacentral:tRNA from 5 species